rnacentral:rRNA from 1 species
GAUGAACGCUGGCGGCGUGCUUAACACAUGCCAGUCGAACGGAAAGGCCACAGCUUGCUGUGGUACUCGAGUGGCGAACGGGUGAGUAACACGUGGGUGAUCUGCCCUGUACUUCGGGAUAAGCUUGGGAAACUGGGUCUAAUACCGGAUAGGAAUCACAUGUGGGUGUGUGGUUGGAAAGCUUUUGCGGUAUGGGAUGAGCUCGCGGCCUAUCAGCUUGUUGGUGGGGUAAUGGCCUACCAAGGCGUCGACGGGUAGCCGGCCUGAGAGGGUGUACGGCCACAUUGGGACUGAGAUACGGCCCAGACUCCUACGGGAGGCAGCAGUGGGGAAUAUUGCACAAUGGGCGCAAGCCUGAUGCAGCGACGCCGCGUGGGGGAUGACGGCCUUCGGGUUGUAAACUCCUUUCGUCAGGGACGAAGCGAAAGUGACGGUACCUGGAUAAGAAGCACCGGCUAACUACGUG